rnacentral:rRNA from 1 species
GUGCCAGCAGCCGCGGUAAUACAGAGGGUGCGAGCGUUGUCCGGAAUUACUGGGCGUAAAGGGCGCGUAGGCGGCUUGAUAAGUAGGAGGUGAAAUUCCAUGGCUCAACCAUGGAUCGGCCUUCUAGACUGUCAGGCUUGAGCACGGUAGAGGCAGAUGGAAUUCCCGGUGUAGCGGUGGAAUGCGUAGAGAUCGGGAAGAACACCAGUGGCGAAGGCGGUCUGCUGGGCCGUUGCUGACGCUGAGGCGCGACAGCGUGGGGAGCAAACAGGAUUAGAUACCCUCGUAGUCC